rnacentral:hammerhead_ribozyme from 1 species
AUUCAGCUGACAAGUUUUAAAUAGGACGAAACACGCGUCAAACUGGAU